GACGAACGCUGGCGGCGUGCUUAACACAUGCAAGUCGAACGGAAAGGCCCUGCUUUUGUGGGGUGCUCGAGUGGCGAACGGGUGAGUAACACGUGAGUAACCUGCCCUUGACUUUGGGAUAACUUCAGGAAACUGGGGCUAAUACCGGAUAGGAGCUCCUGCUGCAUGGUGGGGGUUGGAAAGUUUCGGCGGGUGGGGAUGGACUCGCGGCUUAUCAGCUUGUUGGUGGGGUAGUGGCUUACCCAGGCUUUGACGGGUAGCCGGCCUGAGAGGGUGACCGGCCACAUUGGGACUGAGAUACGGCCCAGACUCCUACGGGAGGCAGCAGUGGGGAAUAUUGCACAAUGGGCGGAAGCCUGAUGCAGCAACGCCGCGUGCGGGAUGACGGCCUUCGGGUUGUAAACCGCUUUCGCCUGUGACGAAGCGUGAGUGACGGUAAUGGGUAAAGAAGCACCGGCUAACUACGUG
rnacentral:rRNA from 1 species